rnacentral:lncRNA from 1 species
CUUGUUUCUCUUGCUGUUUCUUAUUAAUUAAUUUUCCGAACCAGUUCUAUAAAGUCUCUGUUCUUUGUCACACGUAUCACUGAAGUCUCUGCUUGCUUAGCUUUGUGGUCACCUAAUGAUUCAAAAGACAUUUCCGUAAAUGCCUGGAAGCAAUCAGUCUUCUAGCCUUCGCUGAUGGGUUCUGCAUAUGAGUUCAGGCAUGCCUUCAGGACUCCACCAGGCACUUGGUAAUUCUGCCUUAUCCUUCACUUUUUGCUUGAGCAGCGCCGAAAGGUGAGCCAGAGGAGGGAAAUUUGGACAUGGACACAUAGGGAAGACAGCCAUGUGGAGACAGAGGCAGAGGUGGACCUGCUGCCGCAAAACCACAGGGCGCCAAGUACUGUGGGCCACUGAGAAAACUAAAGGAGAGGAAGGAUUCUUCCCUGGAGCUUUGGAGAGGGUGCGGCCCUACUUUCACCUGGAUUUCAGACUUCAGACUUCCAGAACCAUGAAGGAAUAAGCUCUCUUUGUUUCAAAACCACUCAGUC